GGGAGCAUAAAGAUUGGACUUUAGAGGAAGAAAUGGAAGAAGGUCAUGUGGUAUGGUGAGUCCAGAUUUACACUGUUCCAGAGUGAUGGGGCUUCAGGUUAAGAAGAGAGGCAGAUGAAGUGAUGCCCCCAUCGUGCCUAGUGUUUACUGUACAAGACUGUAGGGGCAGUGCUAUGAUCUGGGGUUUUCUAGGAUCAGCAACAUUAUGCCCGAAGAAUGAGGUCAGCUGACUAUCUGAAUAUACUGAAUAACCAGGUUAUUCCAUCAGUGUAUUUUUUCUUCCAUGCUGGCACGGGAUGACAAUGCCAGAAUCCUGACAUUUUUUUCGUGGUGGCUUUUGUUUGGGUUAGGGUCUUUACACAUAAACAUGCCAAUGUAAAGGGUAUUUACAGUCGAUGCAAAAGAUCAUGAAAAGUUUCAGUAUUUACAGUGAGAUGAAACAUCUAAAUAUCUGUGGUCUGUAGGUGAACAAUUGCUUUAAGAUGUUGGAUAAAACCUCCAUAAGCUAAAGCUAUCACUCCAACACAUGAUGAACAGAAAAGACACUUUUGUAUAAUUUAUGGACAAAGAGGCUAAUUUUGUAAUAGGCCUAUAACAUAACUUAUUUUGUGUAACAAAUCCAUAAGCAAAUGUGAAAAAUAAGUAUUAUUUCUUUUUGGUCAUUUUGUAAAUGUAAAUGAUCUUGCAUUUAUACAGCAGAUUUCUACUUACUGGACAAAGACUCUUCGUUUCACUUCAGUGUCUUGCUCAUGCUCAUGCUUGGGUGCUCUGAGUACCAAUCUAUAGAAAUACAAGCUCAUCUACCAUUUACAUUCAGCUUGAGUGGCUUCAGUGUCUUGCCCAAGUAGAUUUUGGCAUAUGGUCCAUAAACUGGGGAUCAAACUGCCUACCCUCUGGUUCACGGACAACCCUGACUACUGAGCCAAAUCUAUUCCAAAUCAACUUGAGUAAAAUCAGCUGAUUUCUGAUAAUGUGCUCAUACAUGAAUAGCUGAUGAUACAGUUUUUUUUACUCCGUCCUCAUUGCCAUGCUGAUUUUCUAUGUGUCCAUGUGUCCUUAACCGACCCAUGUAUCAGUCAAAUGGGAUAGCGGGGUAAGUGUUGUAAUUCUAGAACAAAUUCUCUUGUGUUUAUUUUGCCUGUGUAUUUUAUUUAUCUUGAAGUUCCUUUUCUGUCUAUGUGUAAAACAGCUGCCAAAACUGCUUAUUGAGUUACAUACAAGUGCAUCCAAAUUUUUUGAAAAACAAUCUGCAUCUCAAAUAUUAGCUUGGCAGGAAGAUGAUGAUUUCCAAAUGGAAUAUAGUGGAAACAUUUUGAGAGCUCAUUGUGUAUUAUCAGAUCAUUCAUGAUUCUUUAUGGCUGGUAAAUGCAAGAAAAGUAAGUGGCCACGUUGCAACACAGUUACAUUCCUUUUACCACCCUUUGCUUUUGCAAUCUGCAGACUGUUACAUCUUUAACACGGGCUGUUCACCUUUUUGUUAUUCAGCUACACCUUUAAUUAAAGUGAACUGCCUUUAAGAGUUUCCGGCACAUGGAGUGUGUUUUUAAGAUCCACCCGACAGCUUGUCAUGAAUAUUGUCUUUUGAUUUCACAAUGAAUAAGCAUGUCGCCUUGAGCACAACAAGGCCCUGAAUCAUAUAUCUUUAUUUUAACAUAGAAACUAGUGUAGGCUACAUAAAUCACAGUACUUGAGUUUCUAUUACUAUUAUCAGCAAAGAGAUGUAAUUGAAAAAACAUCCUCUCAACAGUGCAGGUAAUGGAUUUCUUCCUUUUGGAUAAGUAUCAAAUAAAUCCAUUAGAAAUAUAUGUCACUGUGUUUAUUCUGUCACAUUUGAGUAUAAGGGAACUACCAUUUGAUGGGUCGCAUUAACAUGCAGAAUAGCAUUUAACAGAUAAAUGCAUAAAGGGGAAAUGAUAGGGCAGACAAUGAUGCUCGUCAAUUUGUUUCACCUGUAUCUGAUUUGGAAGCUGCAGGAGGCCGUUACAGGUACGGACGUCACUGAGCAUUAUAUUACAAUCUUUAUCUGCCUGCAGAGUCUUACUUAUAGAGUUUUUCAUAUCGCUGACACCUAGCAGCAGACAUUUAUUGAUUGGAGUUUUUUUUUUUUUUUACCCUCCCUGAAACUAUCUUAGUGUUAAUGUAACAUGACAUGAGUUGUGUUUGCGUUCAACAUUGAAAUUUCUCCUCGGCAGCGAUGGAUCACAUUAGCCUAAAUACAGUGUGCUUUGUCAAGGAAGAGCUCUGGCAACCUUCAGACGUCUACCUUAAUGGGACGCUGUGGGCUACACACAUCACGCGUAUUAUCACUUCUGCCCGCAACACAUUUCCACUAAGAUGAAGCCUCCUCCUCCUCUAUUGGAAACCAUCAUCCAAUUAAGAAGAGAACAGUGUAAAAUAGCAGUUGUUUUUUGUUUUUUUUAUCUGUAAAUAAUUUAUAUCCUGAAAUGUCUGUUAUUGUUUCCAGCAGAAGCAAUAAACAAAAAAUAAUAUUAUGA